AGAUCAAUUCUUAAUAUGGUAAUAUUACAUGAUGAAGCAUAUUAUGAAAGUCGAAUACCGCAACCCGAUUUAGGACCUUUUAGAAAUUUUUUGCGGUUUCUUUGGGAUAGAGAGAAAAAAGCAUUUCUCGACAGAACGGCAAAAGAGUGGGGUCAACUAGGAUUAUUUUAUUUUUGCUUUUUUACUAUUUUGGGAACAAUAUUUGCGGUACAAAUGAAGAUCAGUAUAGAUUACGUUUCUCAACUGGAUAAACCAUUUUUUCAAUACGUUAGUUCAAAAUCUGGAAAACCUUCACGUUUUACCCGAUCAACUUUCGGCAGUCCAGGAAUAGUUUUUAAACCAAAUAGCAUGUCAAUUGCAUCGCCUAUUAUUUCGGUGAGUAACUUAACUGGCAAUACCAAAUCGGAAAGAUACGUUCAAGCUAUAAAUGAUUUUUUACAAGAAUAUAAUAAAAAUAAAUCAAACUAUGAUUUAGACUGCUAUAAAAAACAUUUGAUAUCAAGACAUCAUAGAAAAUCUUGUUAUUUUAACAUACACAAUCUUGGAAUAUGUAGCAUACCUCCAUAUGGUUAUACAAAACCUUUAAAACCUUGUGUUCUUAUUAAAUUUAAUAAGAGAUUCGAUUGGAUCCCAGAAUAUUAUAAUUAUUCGUCCUAUUUGCCGCAUAACAUGCCAGCGAGAUUGAAGAAAGUAGUACAAAAAUCUCACAAGCCUUAUAUUUGGUUGUCGUGCAACGGAGCGAAUAACGUGGAUAAAGACCAUAUCGGAGAAAUAGAAUACAUUCCAACUCCUGGAUUUCCAGUUGAAUAUUUUCCAUUUACCGGACAGCUAGAUUAUAUGUCUCCUAUUGUCGCGUUAAAAUUCAAUAGUUUAACAUUAAAUAGAUUAGUGACAGUGGAAUGCUACUUGUGGGCUCAAAAUAUCGAGCAACAUUCUCGAUACUCGUUAGAUUUUCAAAUAAUAAUAGCCAUCACUGGAGCAUUCUAUACUUGCUUCUUCAGCGCGUUGGCCUUGCUCUUUGCUGUUUGCAUGAAAGGAUUGUUAGCUACACUAAAUUACGAAAAACCAAGAUGGAUUCUUGAAGAAAGUUUAAUAGGAACCAAUCCAGGUUUAGGAUUUCGACCGAUGUCUAAUAAUGCUGACGAACGAUCCUUAAUUUGGUACAGUUCAUCGGAUCCCAGUUCCGUGCAAAAAUGGACAGGCCUGUUAGAUACGUUUUUAGAAGAAUAUAUUAAUUCAUCGUUGUUGCCAAACGGUGGUAGGAAUCAGCAAAUUUGUAAUUAUAAUACACCGGUUAAACCAGGACACGUUUGCGCGGUUGAGGUGAACAAUUGGGGCCCUUGCUCGCCUAACCAUCAAUAUGGUUUUAAUAAUUCCGCUCCUUGCAUCUUCAUUAAAUUGAAUAGAAUAUACGGUUGGAUACCAGAAUAUUAUAACGACACUGAAAAUUUACCAAACGAAAUGCCACCUGAUCUUGUUGAACAUAUUAAAUCUACCAACAGUUCAUGGGUUAGUUAGUCGUUAAAUACCGUAUGGGUAUCCUGCAAAGGUGCAAAUCCUCAUGACAACGAGGAUAUCGGUGAAUUAAAUUAUUAUCCCGAAAAUCAUGGAUUUCCAGGAUAUUAUUAUCCAUAUCAAAAUAUUCCUGGUUAUUUAAGCCCUGUCGUUGCUGUGCAUUUUCUUCGACCAGCAAGAAAUAAAAUAAUCAAUGUCGAAUGUCGAGCUUGGGCAAAGAAUAUAAAAUAUGCGACGUCUCAAAAUCAACAGCAUGGCAUGGUACAUUUUGAACUUAUGAUCGAUGAAUGAUAAUUAUUGCAUUUCUAUAUAGAAAUAAAAUCUUGUACCUUCGGAUACAAAAAUAUCUGCAGAAUAAUGUGGACAACGGGAACGAAAGAUGUGUGGUAAAUUUGAAGAAAA